UGGGGAAUAUUGGACAAUGGGGGGAACCCUGAUCCAGCCAUGCCGCGUGUGUGAAGAAGGCCUUAUGGUUGUAAAGCACUUUAAGCGAGGAGGAGGGUACUGGUAUUAAUACUACCAGCUACUGGACGUUACUCGCAGAAUAAGCACCGGCUAACUCUGUGCCAGCAGCCGCGGUAAUACAGAAGGUGCGAGCGUUAAUCGGAUUUACUGGGCGUAAAGCGUGCGUAGGCGGCUAAUUGAGUCGGAUGUGAAAUCCCCGAGCUUAACUUGGGAAUUGCAUUCGAUACUGGUUAGCUAGAGUGUGGGAGAGGAUGGUAGAAUUCCAGGUGUAGCGGAGAAAUGCGUAGAGAUCUGGAGGAAUACCGAUGGCGAAGGCAGCCAUCUGGCCUAACACUGACGCUGAGGUACGAAAGCAUGGGGAGCAAACAGG
rnacentral:rRNA from 1 species